rnacentral:rRNA from 1 species
GUGGCCCCAAGUCAGGCGAGGUCACCCGCCGAGUUUAA